rnacentral:rRNA from 1 species
CUUUCUUUGCUGGCGACCGGCGCACGGGUGAGUAACACGUAUCCAACCUGCCCUUUACUCGGGGAUAGCCUUUCGAAAGAAAGAUUAAUACCCGAUAGCAUAAUGAUUCCGCAUGGUUUCAUUAUUAAAGGAUUCCGGUAAAGGAUGGGGAUGCGUUCCGUUAGGUUGUUGGUGAGGUAACGGCUCACCAAGCCUUCGAUGGAUAGGGGUUCUGAGAGGAAGGUCCCCCACAUUGGUACUGAGACACGGACCAA